UAUGGCCAUAUCAUGCUGAAACACCAGUUACUGUAAAAACAUUGAAGUUAAGCAACGUCGAUCGUGUUCAGUACCUCGAUGGGUGACCACUUGAGAAUACCAGGUGCUGUA